rnacentral:rRNA from 2 species
AGCAGCCGCGGUAAUUCCAGCUCCAAUAGCGUAUAUUAAAGUUGUUGCAGUUAAAAAGCUCGUAGUUGAAUUUCGGGGUUAGUAGGUUGGUCAUGCCUCUGGUAUGUACUGGUCUCACUGAUUCCUCCUUCCUGAUGAACCGUAAUGCCAUUAAUUUGGUGUUGCGGGGAAUUUGGACUGUUACUUUGAAAAAAUUAGAGUGUUUAAAGCAAGCUAACGCUUGAAUACAUUAGCAUGGAAUAAUGAAAUAGGACGUUCGAUCCUAUUUUGUUGGUUUCUAGGAUUGACGUAAUGAUUAAUAGGGAUAGUUGGGGGCAUUAGUAUUCAAUUGUCAGAGGUGAAAUUCUUGGAUUUAUUGAAGACUAACUACUGCGAAAGCAUUUGCCAAGGAUGUUUUCAUUAAUCAAGAACGAAAGUUAGGGGAUCGAAGACGAUCAGAUACCGUCGUAG